rnacentral:rRNA from 1 species
AGUGAACGCUGGCGGCGUGCUUUACACAUGCAAGUCGAGCGAGAACGGGAUAUAGCUUGCUAUAUUUGUCAGCUAAGUGGCGCACGGGUGAGUAAUGUAUAGAUAACCUGCCCUCUAGAAAGGAAUAACAGUUGGAAACGACUGCUAAUGCCCUAUAUGCCUUUAAUACAUAAGUAUGCAAGGGAAACGCUUUAGUGCUAGAGGAUGGGUCUGUAUGGUAUCAGCUUGUUGGUGAGGUAAUGGCUCACCAAGGCUAUGACGCCUAACUGGUUUGAGAGGAUGAUCAGUCACACUGGAACUGAGACACGGUCCAGACUCCUACGGGAGGCAGCAGUGGGGAAUAUUGCACAAUGGACGAAGGUCUGAUGCAGCAACGCCGCGUGGAGGAUGACACAUUUCGGUGCGUAAGCUCCUUUUAUAUAGGAAGAUAAUGACGGUACUAUAUGAAUAAGCACCGGCUAACUCCGUGCCAGCCGCCGCGGUAAAAC